UGGCGUCAGGAAAGAAGCCUGUGUGCGGGUACGACUCCCCACCCUGAAAAGGAAGCCCCGCCCAGAGCAAACUGAUUUGCAUUUUUCUACUUCAUGGUGUCAGGCCAUUAUGAAAUAACCACCAAGAAAUAAAAUGCAAAUCAGUUUGCUUUCACUUGGUGGACUGAGCUGUCAAUCAAAUGGCUCUAGGCGGGGCUUCCUCUCCAGGGUGGAUAGUCGUUCCUGAUCACAGGCAUAUGAAGAGUAGAUACGACACGCCCCUCUGAGCGGCGUGCCCAGAGCCCUAGAGAUAGUAAGAGUUGCGACACUCCCAUAGGGUGCCGUUGUACGCUUUCUUUCGGUAUACUUCCAGGUUGUGGAGGCUUGUUUAGUUCCAAGCACCGCUUCGACAGUGAUAGCCACCGUUCAUUUGCACUGCAGGUUGUUGAGUAUAUGUGGAGUAUCCCGAGAGCAGUCACUGAAGACACGAAGACCCUCAUUGUUUCUCCCAUUGUCAAUAAAACAUACUAUUUCAUUCAUCAAAGCAUAA